rnacentral:rRNA from 1 species
UAGAUGCGAGAGUAGAGCAUAUCAAUAAGCGGAGGAAAAGAAACUAACUAAGGAUUCCCUCAGUAACGGCGAGUGAAGCGGGAAGAGCUCAAAUUUGAAAUCUUCAAGGUUCUACCUUGACGAAUUGUAGUUUAUAGAAGUGUUUUCUGUUAGUAGAGUUUGGUAAAAGUUCUUUGGAAUAGGACAUCAUAGAGGGUGAGAAUCCCGUAUUUGGUCAUUCCUCCUAGCUUUGUGAUACACUUUCAACGAGUCGGAUUGUUUGGGAAUGCAGUCCAAAAUGGGUGGUAAAUUUCAUCUAAAGCUAAAUAUUGGCGAGAGACCGAUAGCGAACAAGUACCGUGAGGGAAAGAUGAAAAGAACUUUGAAAAGAGAGUUAAACAGUACGUGAAAUUGUCAAAAGGGAAGCGUUUGACACCAGUGUUGUUUUUCCGAAAAUCAAUUACGAAUGUUUUAGUUUUUAAGAAGUUAUGACUUCAUCGGCUUGCUCCUUUCUUUAUGAAACUUUCUUAAUGCACUUUUCGGUUAACAAGUCAACAUCAAUUUCUUUUGUUGUAAAAGGGUAUGAGGAAGGUGGCUUUCUUUUCGGAGAAAGUGUUUAUAGCCUUGUGCCUCUGCAAUCGGAGAGAUUGAGGUCUGCAGCGUAGAUCCUUCGGGGUUAGAUACAGUUUGUGCUAAGUUAUAGCUUUUCAUAGACAACUUGUUGACUAUGUUAGUCUUGUAGCUUACUCGCUUAUGCUAUUUUACCUACGCUUAGGAUGUUGACGAGACUGUCGAUCUC